rfam:Neolentinus lepideus HHB14362 ss-1 unplaced genomic scaffold NEOLEscaffold_15, whole genome shotgun sequence.
GGCAACGUAGCCAAGUGGUUACGGCGUCACGUUUAGGUCUUUCGAGGCAUACCGUGAUGGGUCUUCCCGCGCGAGUUCGAAUCUCGUCGUUGUCA